rnacentral:RNase_P_RNA from 1 species
AGAACAGGGACAGUGCCACAGAGAACAGACCGCCGGACGGCCGGGCAACCGGCGACGGCAAGGGUGAAACGGUGAGGUAAGAGCUCACCGCGCUGCGGGCGACCGCGGCGGCACGGCAAACCCCACCCGGAGGAAGACCGAAUAGGAGGAUCGCGCGGCCCGCGCUCAGGUCCUCGGGUAGGUCGUUGGAGGCCGUUCGCGAGAACGGCCCUAGAGAAAUGGCCGCCAUCGCUUCACGGCGACACCAGAACCCGGCUUACGGGGACCAAGCACUU